rnacentral:lncRNA from 1 species
CUCAAGACUUCAGGGAGUUCCAAAUGUAGUUGAAGACCUUCCCUGUUCAAAUUUCUCUCAUUGAUUGGUCAGAAGUCUUCCAUGGACAAUAAUUAAAAAACCAUACAGUACAGAGAAAAAUAACUGUUAGCAGUAGCACUUGAAAUCAAAACAGCACAUUAAUUAUUCUAAACAAACUAAAAGCAUGCAAAUUUCCAAGUAUUACUCACAUGC